rnacentral:rRNA from 1 species
GACGGAGGGUGCUAGCGUUGUUCGGAAUCACUGGGCGUAAAGGGCGCGUAGGCGGCCUUGCAAGUCGGUUGGUGAAAGCCCGGGGCUCAACCCCGGAGGUGCGGCCGAGACUGCAGGGCUGGAGGCCGGAAGAGGAGGGUGGAAUACCCAGUGUAGAGGUGAAAUUCGUGGAUAUUGGGUGGAACACCGGUGGCGAAAGCGGCUCUCUGGUCCGGACCUGACGCUGAGGCGCGAAAGCGUGGGGAGCAAACAGG